UUUUACUUUCCUUUCUCCUAUAUCACAUUAAAAAAAUAAUAAUCAUUUUCUCUUAAAGAACAAAAUAAAAGGCCCUAAUUUUGAUACAAUUUUUUUGAUUUUCACAAAUUAAAUUUCUACUUCGCACUGAAAUAAAUUAGCAAUCAUGAGUGCUGGAGAUCUUCUUAAUAUCCACUCAAUAGAGCUCAAAUUUACAUCUAAGUUCCUUUCUUGCUUUCUAUCUCUCCUUUUCUUUUUCCUGUUUGCUUUCCGAGAAAAUGGAAACAAAAGAAAAUAUCUAAAUUUAUUGAUUUUGUGUCGAAAUUACGCGAGAGCGGCUCUAACUAGGAGCCAAAUUGUUUGUUGUUGGGAUUUGUGAAUUUCAAAUCCAUAGCUGGUAAUGCAUUUUGGCUUCUAAUGUUAUAUGUGAUGAUAGCGACUCGUGUAAAUUAUGGUUGUUUUCGUUAAGUGGAUGGUUUUUCGUUUCAUUUUGUUUUGCUUUAAUGACGCAUUGUAGACAUGUAUGUUUGGGCAUAUAAUGGUUUUAUGAGCUUUCUACUUGUUCUUGAUUGGAUUGUGUUAGUUACAAUGCAAGGCCAAAAGGAGUCACCGCCAGAUAUGCAAUGCAGGGACAAGUUCCUGCUUCAGAGUGUUGUUGCACCUGAUGGUACAACUACCAAAGACAUAACUUCUGAUAUGGUGGGGUGGCUUCUUUGUAUCUUCCUUUGCUUAUUCCUGUUUAAAGAUUGACGGUUAUGUUUUCUCAAUAUAGAAUUAUUGUUUAUUCCUGUUUACAGAUUGACAGUUAUGUUUGCUCAAUAUAGAAUUAAAGAUGGGAGUGAUUGGUUUUGCAUUUUAGUAAGGAGGAUGGUAGGGUUGUGGAGGAUUUCAAAUUGACGGUUUUAUACAUCCCUUGCAAAUCUUCCCUCUCCUGUUGCAGAAGAAUCUGAUGAAGGAUCUUCUCCUUCUAGGCCUUCUGUGUUUGAGAACGGUAAUCAGGAUACUUCAUUGCUUGAUGCUGUAUCAAGAUCUUUAGAGGAGCCUAAAGAAAAAUCUUCUGAGACAUGGUCUGUGAUUUAAAGGUUGACUGAGGAGAAAACUCCUGCCAUGCCUGCAGCAAAAUCACAAGCUUCGGCAUGAACUGGAACUGAUGAGAAAACAGAUCAGCAAAAAACAUGCUGGUGGUGUCUCUUUAUUGGUUGUUUUUCUGGUUUGGUUUGUUUGGCAUCUUGGUUGGCUAUAUCUUCAAGUGAAUAUCCAAGUGACUGAGAUUAUAGUUUGAGUUGACAGUGUGCAGCCUUCCCAGAGGUUUUGAAACUUUUUAGGACUUCCUCACGUAAUUUGUAAAAUUAUAGUCAGAUGCAUUGUUGGCACUUUUGAUUAUUGAUUGUCAGAUGUUUGAGCAAGAGCUAGGUCGGUUUGGAUGGUAGUUAGACUGGCUAAUAGCCUGUUAAACUUAGGAUCUCUUGUGAAUGGAUUGAUUUGUAAUCUAGUGACUGCCAUUUCUCUUGCUAUGAAUGGAUUCAUUUCUCGUACUGAA